AUUACAAUAUUAAAGGUAUGUUAUUUUCCAUAACUUAAAUCUGUUUAAUUUUUGAUUUUGAGAAAUCAAAAUCUCAUUUUUCUCCCAAAUUUGUCGAUGGACUCCGGUCAAAGUGUCCGAAGUCGAUUGACCGUAUCCGGGACGUUUCCCGCUCCAGCACCCAUCCAAGUCUCGUAUUAGGACGGGGACGGCACCAAAAUUGAAGAGUCCGUGCAACUUAGGUAAGGUCUGCGUACACACUACCCUCCCCAGACCCCACGAGUGGGAUUUUAGUGGGUUGUUGUUGUUGUUAUAUAGGUACCCCAGGUCAUUUACCAUGUUCCUCAAAAAUCAUUUGCACCUAGACCCAAGUACAGCGUUUGCAACCAACAAACGAUAUGCUAGCCAUAUGAAAGUAUCAAUGGAAGAAUGUGACUAAAGGCGAGAUGAUCAUAAGCAGCAGUAUGCAUACAUCUUAGAAUUAAUUAUGUACGUUAAGACGUUAAGUACAUGUAAAAGCUGGCACUACUCUAACCAGAGACUACAGUGAAAAGAAGGAACCUGGAAAGCAUGGGAGAAAAAUCUAAUUGAUAUUAAACAUGGUACAAUGAGCCCUAUAUAUAUAUAUACACAUAACCUAUCCUACU
rnacentral:lncRNA from 1 species